UCUCCUAAAAAUAACCUCUAAUCCAUUUUAAAUAAGGUUCAUUCCAGCAUAGCAAACAAAAUGUGACGACAUAACCUGUUAUCGUCAUUGCCAUUCUGACAACGUUGCCGUUCCGAGCGAAACGUCAAAGCAGCCAACUUAUAAAUGCGGGUGGUCAAAUUCAUAACUAAUCAAUUCGCUGUAAUUUGCGAUAGCAGCGCUCAUUUCAACUGCAAAUGUAAGUUUGUCCAGUAUAGACGUUUUUGCGAUGAGUCAACUUGAACACAGUGUCACACAGUGUUGUUUUUCGCUUGAAAAACCACGUGUGUUUUUAAAAGCUGGAAAACGGGAUUAUGAUCAUUUCGCAGUCAGUUGCGCUGCGCACGCGUCUCUGUGUGUUUACGUUUUUUUGGGCUUGAUCUAUUUAUUUUUUUGUGAACAUGUUCCUGACGUUUGAAGUGAUUGCCACAUUCGGAGUAUCAGCUGUGGUAUCCUUCUCGAUAUCCUCGGCCAUCCUCCUCCUGCUGGCUGCCAAGCGAGGGCUGCUCCGCAAGCGCGAGAAGCCAGGUGUGACCAACGCUGCGCUGCUUCCCCCCUCCGCCCCGCCGAAGGCGCUGCUGGCAGAACAGACGCCUUUGCAAUCUUAAAAUGUAGUUAACAAGACGCUUUGCUGACAGAUACUGCAUUUUAAAGAGUUUACUUACGAAAAACGGAUGUUUAUCCCUAGAUAGGAUUGCUAUCAAAAAAUGUAAUAACCUGACAAAACCCGGACGUUACCCUAAAAUCUAGACAUUGCCUGGAUGGUAAUUCCUUUAAAAAUAGCCCACUCCGACUUCGUACACGAUUUAACUUUACCAUUAGCAUGAAAAAUAAUAAAAGGGUCCAUUAAAUCCCUUAUUCAAAAACCUUUCGUGGGCCACUAGUCCCUUAACUCGCCACCAUGCUGUACCUAGCUGAAGCAUAAAUUUCCUCUACCCGACUAAGGUUUUGGUUAACUUCUAGUGGUUAUUAAGGUUUCUAAAAAAUCCGCAAAGGACCAAAAAUCCUGACAUGCAAUCCUGUUCCUAGAACACAAUUUCAUAUCUUGCACUCAUUCGUCAACAAUAACAACAACAACAAGUCGUCAAUGUGGACUCAACCAAAUGCACAAUAAUAGCACUUUAUUUUUUUCUUCAAAUUUUUUAUCAUGAGCAAAGUGACUGGUUGUUUAAGACUCGAGAAUCCACUCAGAAUUUUUUCGAUAAACUUUUCUUUACCGAACAAAUUUAAUGUAGGUACGGUGUCUAUCUUGAUAAAUAUAAUUUAAUGGAGAGAAAUUCAUCAGAUCAUAUUGAGGAAAGCCAUAAUACGUUUUGCAUUUGGUUAUGACCGGAUGUUACAUUAAUUUUAUAUUUAUAGAACUUUACAUGGUUAAUUUUCGACUAAUUGGCAGCGUUUAAUUUUUUUUAAACAAGAUCCGUCCAUUCGCAAAAUUGUUGCCUAUAUUCGAAUGAAUGAUCAGAAAUCUCAAUAUUUUUUAACGUAUACCUACAGUAGGCGCUCGCUAAUCCGGCACGCCCAAUAAUCCGACAAUUUAGUAACUCAGGUGACCUGUUUAAUACUCCCGCAGUUUAGAGCGGUUUCAGACUAGCGUAUUUUCCCUUACACAGUCGAACGCCGGAUUACAGAACGGUUGUAUUUGACAUAUAAAAUUAAUUUUAUAUAUAAAGCUUUUAUUUGCCUUACAAAUACAAUAAUCAGGUAGUUGUAACAAUACGACAUAGGGGCACAAUUUCAGUUGCAGGACUACCGAGUCAAAUGAUGUAUUUAACUUAAUUUUGUAUAUUUUUAAAUAAUUUUAAGGUUAACACUGGUAAUAUUUUUACCAUAUUAGCACAGAGCUUCAAAUAUCCGAUAAAAUCACACGUGCCCAUUUAAAAGCGUGUUAGUUUUAAGUCAAAAUUGUGAUAAAUGUGCCUUAAUUGCAGCUUUUUUGUUUUUAUUGUGUAUUAAUAGUAAAUUAAUCA